rnacentral:rRNA from 1 species
AAACUUCACAAUGGGGGAAACCCCGAUGAGGGAAUUCCAAGUGCCAGCACAUUGUGUUGGCUGUUCUCUGGUCUAAAAAACCGGAGAAGUAAGGGCCGGGUAAGACGGGUGCCAGCCGCCGCGGUAAUACCCGCGGCCCAAGUGGUGGUCGAUAUUAUUGAGCCUAAAACGUCCGUAGCCGGUUUUGUAAAUCCUUGGGUAAAUCGACCAGCUUAACUGUUCGAAGUCCGGGGAGACUGCAAGACUUGGGAUCGGGAGAGGUGAGAGGUACUUCUGGGGUAGGGGUAAAAUCCUGUAAUCCUAGAAGGACCACCGGUGGCGAAGGCGUCUCACUAGAACGAAUCCGACGGUGAGGGACGAAGCCCUGGGGCGCAAACGGGAUAGAUAACCCGGUAGUCCAGGGUGUAAACGCUGCGGGCUUGGUGUUGGGGGUCCUUUGAGGGCGCCCAGUGCCGGAGAGAAGUUGUUAAGCCUGCUGCUUGGGGAGUACGUCCGCAAGGAUGAAACUUAA